ensembl:lncRNA
GUAAGUAAAUGUUUGUUUUCGUAUCGGUGCCGCUUUUAAUGCACUUUAUAUGCAGCUGUAGUGUCAGAUAUAAUGUGUGCCAUGCACUCCAGAUGUUGGUGGAGUUUAUUUCUGUGUGUGUUGACCAGAGAAGAAAGUUAGCAUCCAGUAAAUAUUAGCUUUAAUGUUAGCGAUGCUAACCGAGCUAGCUGCUCAGUCCUAGCCUGAUUAAAGCUAACGUAGCAUUAAGCUAACGAUGUUUGUGUUAUUUCCUGUAAACAGCUGAAGUAUGUUGUGUUACUGUAAUGUGGUACAUUUAGUUAAUAAAACUGUUCAUGGAGACGCUGGUUCACAUUAAUGUAACGUUUAGAAAACCUAAAUGUGAUUAAAACAGUGAGGUUAAGGUUCUGUGUUGUCAGUAGUCCUGAAUAUCUGCUGAGUCUCUGAAGUUAAACUGGAGAAAACAGUAAAUCUGCUCUCUAGUUGUUAACAUUGUUUAAUGACUGAUUCACAUGUUUUAGUACUUAUUCCUGCAGUGUAGACUGGAAAAAUAAACUCCCAGAAUAUGUCCAAAGUAAUGAUAAACACUACACUUAUUACAUUUAAAUUACAGCACAGAUAAGCUGGAUAAUAAAAUCCUUUCCUCUAAAGCUAAAGUGACUACAGGCCUUUCUGUCUUUCAGUGCCUGGAAAACUAUAUGAAACAGGAAAUCUGUCCAGGGAUACUUUAAAAUGAACCUCUGCUGUUGAUGCUGAUACUGUGACGUCUGUCUUCAUCUCAGGUGUCUCAUGUUCACUGUGAGGAUCUUCUGAGUGAAGCCAACAGAAGGAAAACCUCAUCUGGAUGUGAAGAAGGAGACUGAAUGGACGACAUCCUCAGUGAACCACUUCCUGUUUAACUUUCACUUACAGAAGGACAGAGCAACUAUUUCAGCAGUUUAUUUUUCUCUGUUCUUAGUAUUCACAGGUUCCAUUUAUCACCUUUAACUUCAUCUCUGCUGUUGUAGCAGAAUGAUAAUACAGAGCACAUUUUCCUAUCAUUUAUAUCAGAUAUGUAGCAUUAAAACAUCAAGGACAAGAGCUUCAUUAUUUUCUUUAUUGCACAUUUAAAAACUACAUUGUUUAACAAUUGUGAACUAAGGAUGCGUAAACACAUGUAAUAAAUGGAUGAAAUACAUAAUGUGUUGCUGACAGUGAAGUGUAAAAACUGAACAGUCACAAGACAAGUUGUAUUAUGAAGAGAGGAGCUGAAUCUGCAGCAUUAUUGUUAUUACUGGAAGGAUGAGGAGGACAUCAGUGCUGCUCUUCCUCACAGUGAUGAAGGAGAAAAGACUCUUCAGACAACCACAGCUGGAUGUUCUCUGGAGCUCUCAGUCCAUCAGACGAGAUGCCCCCAAUGAUCCAGACCAAGACUGGAAGGAAAAGACACCAACAGUGGAAGCUGAAUUAGUGAGGAUGACUCCUGCUCCUGUCAUCUCUAAGCUCCUCCCACAUCUUUACCUGCACAUGAGGAAAAUCACUCCUGUAGAAUGCAGAUGUUCAGAGGGAGAUGAUGCCACAUCUGGUCCAGCAGAUGGAAGGUCUUGAAGUUCUCUGACUGGCCUGGACUGAAGAUGGUCGUCUCACUGGAUUUAAGGUUCAGAUGCUCAGUAACAAACUCCACCAAUGAGCCAACAGGGAAGCUAUGCACAAUGAGGGACGUCUGCAGCGACUGAGAAAGAGUCUCACCACAUCCUGACAUGAGGAAAAAGACUUUAUUGAAGACUACAAUGAGAAAAACUAUCAGACAGCAGACGGCUGCAUUCAAGGCUGUUAGAUUGUUCCAGAUAAGACAAGUACAAGAUUCUUCAGAGCCGUUCCACCAUGAGCCUGACAGGAAGAACUCCAACAGCUACUGAAUGUUCCUGUGGUUCCCUCAAGGCUACAGGAGGAGUCCUACGAGGACGAGCCGGUCCACCUGAUGGUGGCCAGUCACUGCAGUUCAAAGCCAACACCGACUACGUGGACUUCUACUGGACCACACGGAGGCCUUCAAACCGGACCAACAAGUUCAGCGACUCCCCGACUCGUGGGUCUGAGGACGCCGCCGAGCCUCGGUCCAGCCAGCCUCCUGUCUGUGGGUGUUUGAGUGCUGAGAGGUUUGUGGAUGCAUGUGAACGUUCUGUGUUGAAACAGCAGCUUUGGACUCAGUAACGCCGGGAAAAACCAAGAGCUCCUUUAUUUGUGACUUCCACUAAAAAACUGAUGAAAAUAAGUUUGCCAGGGUUCUGACUGAUAACAGAUUAUUAAAUAAUGAAAAUAAUCGUUUAAAUAUUCCUUUAAACAAUCUUUUAGGGCUACAUUUCCUUUACACUGACUUCUUGGUAAAUGUACUAGUAUUUAGGGUGGAAUAUACCAUUAAGCCCGAUGUUCAAGGGUUCUUCUGGGAAUAUACUAUUAAACCAACCUUUUAGGUAAAUGUUCCAGGAUGUUGGGUAGAAUAUACCAUCAGAUAAACCUUUUAGGUCUACAUUGGAAGAUUUUACAGUAGAAUAUUACUCCAAUCCAUCCUUUAGGUCAACAUUUAAGGUGGAAUACUCCUUUACACCAAGAUUUUUUGGUCUACAUUGAAGGAUUUUUGGUGGAAUAUUUCUUUGGAUGAACUUUUUAAGUUUAUGUUCAAGGAUGUUGGUGGAAUAUAACAUCAGACCAACCUCCAAGGUCUACAGUAGUGAAUUUUAGGUGGAAUAUACCAUUAAACUCACCUUUUAGGUCUACAUUGGAGGAUUUUAGGUGGAAUUUUCUUCCAAACCAUCUUUUAGUCUACAUUUAAGGAUGUUUAGGAUGGUAUAUUCUUCCAAACCAACUUCUCAGGUCUACAUUUCAGGUGGAAUAUUCCUCCAUACUAACUUUUUUGGUCUACAUUGAAGGAUUUUUUCUAAACCACCCUUUGGGGUCUAUAUUUGAGGUUUUAGGUGGAAUAUUCCUUUUAACCAGCCCCUCGGGUCUCUUUGAGGAUUUUGGAUGGAAUACUCAGUUAAAGCAACAUUUUAGGUGCAUGUCCAAGGAUUUUUGGUGGAAUGUUACUUUAAGGUGGAUGUGUGAGGACCUUGUAGGUGGAAUACUUCCUGAAACCAACCUUUUAGGUCAACAUUCAAAGAUUUAAGGUGGAAUAUUCCUUUAAACCAACCUAAAUUUCAUGUUUUGAUCAUUAUCAAGUGAGAAACCUCAAUCCAGACUCCUCAUAAUGACGUUUGAGAUUUAUGCUGCUGUUAUUUGUUUAGUCCAGACUAAAUAACAGAAAUCCACAACUGUAAUUUUAUUGCAGGACUCGGUUAUUAAAUGUCAAAACAAUCCAUGUGACUCUAAAAACUCAACAGCUUUACAAACUCUAAGAUUAAACUCUCCACAAGGAUCCAAAAUAAGUUGGACUUCUACAUGAGAGCUUUAAUUAUUCUUCAUCUACUUUCUGAAAAGUUUGGUCAAUAAAAAAGACAAAAACUAAUAUUUUCAGCUGAACUAAAGUAAGACUUUGUGAUUUUUCUGCUCACAUCUUGUGUUGUUGUAAACUUCCUCUUUCAAAUAAAUAUCCUCCUAACCCCCUGGAAACCAGCGUUUGUCCUGUUUUUGUGUUGCUCGUCACCUACUUCAGACAGCCGGGACAAAACAACGUUUUGUGGACAAAAGGCUGUUCUAUGACGUUUUUAGAGCGACAUGCUAUGCUACGUCGAAAAAAAAUGUUAUUUAUCAACAUAUUGUAAAAACGUGCCAUAUGAUGAAAUAAAUAAUAAUAAUGUAAAGAAGGCCGUGAAAAACACUCCAGAAAGGUUUUCUUUGAAAAAAAAAUCAUCAUGAAUUUUGGCGCAAAAAAAACACCAUAGUAUACUAUGUCGAAAAAAAAUUUUUGAUUUUUCAACAUGUUGUGAAAACGUGCCAUAUGAUGAAAUAAUGUAAAGGAG